AUUGAACGCUGGCGGCAGGCUUAACACAUGCAAGUCGAACGAUGAUUUUCCAGCUUGCUGGGAAUGAUUAGUGGCGGACGGGUGAGUAACAUUUAGGAAUCUGCCUAGUAGUGGGGGAUAGCUCGGGGAAACUCGAAUUAAUACCGCAUACGACCUACGGGUGAAAGGGGGCGCAAGCUCUUGCUAUUAGAUGAGCCUAAAUCAGAUUAGCUAGUUGGUGGGGUAAAGGCCCACCAAGGCGACGAUCUGUAACUGGUCUGAGAGGAUGAUCAGUCACACCGGAACUGAGACACGGUCCGGACUCCUACGGGAGGCAGCAGUGGGGAAUAUUGGACAAUGGGGGCAACCCUGAUCCAGCCAUGCCGCGUGUGUGAAGAAGGCCUUUUGGUUGUAAAGCACUUUAAGCAGGGAGGAGAGGCUAAUGGUUAAUACCCAUUAGAUUAGACGUUACCUGCAGAAUAAGCACCGGCUAACUCUGUGCCAGCAGCCGCGGUAAUACAGAGGGUGCGAGCGUUAAUCGGAAUUACUGGGCGUAAAGCGAGUGUAGGUGGCUCAUUAAGUCACAUGUGAAAUCCCCGGGCUUAACCUGGGAACUGCAUGUGAUACUGGUGGUGCUAGAAUAUGUGAGAGGGAAGUAGAAUUCCAGGUGUAGCGGUGAAAUGCGUAGAGAUCUGGAGGAAUACCGAUGGCGAAGGCGGCUUCCUGGCAUAAUAUUGACACUGAGAUUCGAAAGCGUGGGUAGCAAACAGGAUUAGAUACCCUGGUAGUCCACGCCGUAAACGAUGUCUACUAGCCGUUGGGGUCCUUGAGACUUUAGUGGCGCAGUUAACGCGAUAAGUAGACCGCCUGGGGAGUACGGCCGCAAGGUUAAAACUCAAAUGAAUUGACGGGGGCCCGCACAAGCGGUGGAGCAUGUGGUUUAAUUCGAUGCAACGCGAAGAACCUUACCUGGUCUUGACAUAGUGAGAAUCCUGCAGAGAUGCGGGAGUGCCUUCGGGAAUUCACAUACAGGUGCUGCAUGGCUGUCGUCAGCUCGUGUCGUGAGAUGUUGGGUUAAGUCCCGCAACGAGCGCAACCCUUUUCCUUAUUUGCCAGCGGGUUAAGCCGGGAACUUUAAGGAUACUGCCAGUGACAAACUGGAGGAAGGCGGGGACGACGUCAAGUCAUCAUGGCCCUUACGACCAGGGCUACACACGUGCUACAAUGGUAGGUACAGAGGGUUGCUACACAGCGAUGUGAUGCUAAUCUCAAAAAGCCUAUCGUAGUCCGGAUUGGAGUCUGCAACUCGACUCCAUGAAGUCGGAAUCGCUAGUAAUCGCAGAUCAGAAUGCUGCGGUGAAUACGUUCCCGGGCCU
rnacentral:rRNA from 1 species